rnacentral:rRNA from 1 species
GAUGAACGCUGGCGGCGUGCCUAAUACAUGCAAGUCGAGCGAACGGACGAGAAGCUUGCUUCUCUGAUGUUAGCGGCGGACGGGUGAGUAACACGUGGAUAACCUACCUAUAAGACUGGGAUAACUUCGGGAAACCGGAGCUAAUACCGGAUAAUAUUUUGAACCGCAUGGUUCAAAAGUAAAAGACGGUCUUGCUUUCACUUAUAGAUGGAUCCGCGCUGCAUUAGCUAGUUGGUAAGGUAACGGCUUACCAAGGCAACGAUGCAUAGCCGACCUGAGAGGGUGAUCGGCCACACUGGAACUGAGACACGGUCCAGACUCCUACGGGAGGCAGCAGUAGGGAAUCUUCCGCAAUGGGCGAAAGCCUGACGGAGCAACGCCGCGUGAGUGAUGAAGGUCUUCGGAUCGUAAAACUCUGUUAUUAGGGAAGAACAUAUGUGUAAGUAACUGUGCACAUCUUGACGGUACCUAAUCAGAAAGCCACGGCUAACUACGUG